rnacentral:rRNA from 1 species
GACGAACGCUGGCGGCGUGCUUAACACAUGCCAGUCGAACGGAAAGGCCCUGCUUUUGUGGGGUGCUCGAGUGGCGAACGGGUGAGUAACACGUGAGUAACCUGCCCUUGACUUUGGGAUAACUUCAGGAAACUGGGGCUAAUACCGGAUAGGAGCUCCUGCUGCAUGGUGGGGGUUGGAAAGUUUCGGCGGUUGGGGAUGGACUCGCGGCUUAUCAGCUUGUUGGUGGGGUAGUGGCUUACCAAGGCUUUGACGGGUAGCCGGCCUGAGAGGGUGACCGGGCACAUGGGGACUGAGGUACGGCCCAGACUCCAACGGGAGGCAGCAGUGGGGAAGAUUGCACAAUGGGCGGAAGCCUGAUGCAGCAACGCCGCGUGCGGGAUGACGGCCUUCGGGUUGUAAACCGCUUUCGACUGUGACGAAGCGUGAGUGACGGUAAUGGGUAAAGAAGCACCGGCUAACUACGUG